rnacentral:tRNA from 1 species
GGGCCGUUAGCUCAGCCGGUAGAGCAGUUGACUUUUAAUCAAUUGGCCGCUGGUUCGAAUCCAGCACGGCCCACCA